GGCCGGGCCGGGCAGCCAGCAGCAGCAGCAGCCAGCAUGUGCGCCCGCUGCCGGGCGGGGGCUUGUCCGCCGGGGCGCGGGGAAGGAACCUGAGGCGCCUCAGCGUCCCUGAAAGCCUGGCUGGGCGGCCGGGUCAGGGUGCUGGCUGGAGAGGUAGGCCGGGCUGCCGCGGGGGUGCGCGGCGGGCUGAGCCGCUAAUGGGAGGGGGCCGGCGGCGGGCCCUGGAGCACCGUCCCCGAAAGCCUGUGCUGCUGUCCCCGCAGCGGGCACGGGACCUGGGAGGCCUUGGGGCCGGGAGCGCUGGUUGGCCGGUGGUUGGGCAGCCGUGCCGCUUCAGCACACGGACAGCCUUUCUUUGCCCCGUCGGCAUCUUGUCUCCGUGAAACCAGGCACCGAGCGAAUAGCUGGCUCUUCGUCCGCUGGAGCUUGUGGUUCUGAAAGUCUCUGUGCAGCCUUCUCACCGCUGAUUGGGAGAACUCGCUGAAAAAAAACUCCUAGACGAGCGAGCUUUUUGAUUUCUUUAUAUAGUUGCUUUACGUUCAACUCGUUUGGGCAGGCUUUUUGCCAUCGUAGCCUUAGAUGCGCCAUAUCCCUCCCAGUAGAAAGACAACCCGAAAGGAAUACUUUCUCAGUAGUGUGGAAAAGAUGAAAGCAGUGGAAGUCUGUCGAUGGCCUAAACAAGCACCAGCAUGACCACAAGAUGUCCCAAGAGCAUGGUGUGCUUGGCUUUUCUGGUUAAGUGUUUAUCAUGUAUAAAACAUAAUUUACAUGUGAAUUUUAAAGUGUUUGCCUGUUGAUUAAUCGAACUUUUUCAUAUGCUGUUACUUCAAUUUUACAGAAAUUGUAUGUUCUAAUACUUAAAUUUUUGCCUUUGUGUUGCCCAUUCAUUCCUGGCCAGAAUGAAUGUGGUGUCAAAGAAGGCAAACAGGAAUUCUUGCUCAGACUAUUGAAGGAGCUGGUUAUUUACCUUUCUCCUCCCUGUUUUUGCAAGGACAACAAAAAAAUCUGUAGAACAUGCAUUGUUGUCUAAAAUUCAUGAGUUCUUGAACUCAUAUUUAGUGGUUAACUAUAUGGGCACAGAGUUCAGGUCAGGCUGACCUUCUAGAGUUGUCAAAAGUGACAAAUUAAGGGACUUCUAAUCAAGGGAGUCAGCCUUGGUAGAGACAAGAGGAAGAGCGUCCUAUCUUCGUGAUAGUUCUAGUGUGCUUUUCUGGAAGUCAAGGAGCUCACAGAGACUGUCCUGUGUGGUGAAAGCCUCUGAGCAUGAGAAAGGUGUGUAAGAGAAAGUUGUAAAGUACUGAUUGCCUAGCUGUCCUGAAGCUUCCUUCAUGAGGAGUGACUGGCCCAAAAAACCCAAACCCAACUAGAUGAAGAUCCGUGUGUUCACCUGCUGAUGUUCCCUUACUGGAUCCAUCGCCAUGAAUUUUUCCCUACUAGGAUCUCCAGUGGUUUGGGGAAUGUUACUGGCUAUAGUUAUUUUCUACAUGUUUUACUGUUUUUGCGCUUUUACCCACCACAUCUGGUGUGGGAGACCCCGCAGUAAUCAAGUUGUGUAACUAGGGUGACAAGCAUUGGCAGAUUGUGAUUCAUCUAUGCUCAUGCCCUAAGUAAGCUAUCUGCAAGCUUAUUGCCCUACCGAUUGCUUUAGCAUUUUAGGAUCUAUAAAAUAAGGUUUGCCAACAUGAGUCACCCAAAAGUUAGUGUUUGUCAUGUUUGUAUUGACUUUAUAUGUAAUCACUUUGCAAAGUAGUGGUCCUGAUCUUGCAUGGGAGCUGAUUCACGGUUUUGCCCAAAUGUGGAACUCCUUGGACCAAGGCCUAUGUAUCGCAUUACCUCGAUCUUCUGAAGAAGGGCUGAGAUUUUUCAUAUCUGUUGUUUAAUGAGAACACCACAGUACAGGAGUAUAUGCCCUGUUUAAUAAAUGGAUCUUGGGCAGCUUACUACCACCCAGUAUGUAUACCACGGAGGCUGAAUCUCUGUGGUCUCUACCAUCAAACUCGCCUUGCAAACUUACUGGCUGGAUGAUGGAAAGAUGCCAAAUUAGCCAAACCCUGGGUGAAAACAAUGCAUUUAGAGCCCAUGUAAGUUGUAGGCUCUUCCCAUAGGGUCCUGUAGAAAAUCCAUUCUUUUAUUUGAGCUCGUAUGAAGUAAGUUCACUGUACAAUGGGAUCUGCCUUGGUGCAUGGAACUUCCACGCCAUGUGGGUGUCAGGAAUUGGGAUACACAGUAAUUCUAAUGGGCUUGGUCCAGGGACAUUUUAGAAAAAGGAGUACCAUAUAAUGAUACUGUACUUGAGCCAUGUCCCAAGCAACCUGAAAAUUCCUCUUUUUUAACUGUUCUAAAGUAAUAAUGUGCAAAGAAGGACCAGGAAAUCAACCAGAAAUCUGGUUCAUUUAUACUCAGUAUUUCAAUUCAGGAUAUGUGUACAUGCUGUGAAUACCUCACACAGGGAUGGAGAAAUAAGGACCCCAAUUGUAACCAGACCUUUACUAAUCAAACAGAAAAUGCGGAAGCAAUACAGUAUACCUUAUGUCCAUUUUCUGGUAAUGAAAACAGCUCUAAAUUCUACACCACGAACUUAGGCAUCUUCUUUUGAAGAACUUUCUAAUUGCAAAACUAGUGUAUAUCCUGCUCCUUCAGGGCUGGCAGGGGGAUGCUCUGAUGGGAAGUUCUAUUCAUAGUUAACUUUAGAACAUCACGCUGGUUUAAAGUGUGGGGUAGGUAUCUCUUCAUUAUGCCCAGAUCAUAUCUUUAAUUUUACAAGUUCUUCCCCAUGAACAUGCAGGAAGGUAAAACAACCCCCAACUUGUCCAGAGUGUGUGAUAAAGGGAGUCCAAAUUCCUGAUUAUUAUACUAGAAGAUAGGCUAUAUCCCUGAUGCUAGAAAGUAUUUUUGCCCCUUAUGUAACCCAAAACCAACAUCAGUUUGUCUUGGAAAAUCUCACCUGGCAGGUACAUGUUUUGGACUCGAUAUGCUUUUGGAGAACUGAAUCUGCAGGUCCAACAAGCAUCGAAGGUGACACUGUAGAAUCAUCUAGCUCUAGAUAUGCUGUUGCUGAAAGGAGCCAGUGGGAUGCUAAACCUCACCAAUGGAGAAUGUUGCAUCACCAUACACAAUGCAACCACAAUCAAAGAAGCCGGGGCAAAGAUGAAAGAAAUAGCAGACCAAACAGCAGUGCUUUUCCAGGCCAUGCAACACAAAGGCUGGUUUAAUGGACCAGGUUCCUGGCUACAAUCAAUCUUGAGAUAUUUGGGACUCAUGGCAUGGGGAGCUUGGCUAGCAAAGAUACCACGUUAGUUACAGGAUUCAUAUUUUUAAUAAUUGCUGUUGCUGUUGUGUGCUGAAUGAUCAACUGUGCCCUUUUCCCCUCUUCUGUCUGCUACAUGAGAACCACCACCUCUGAAGAAGACUUAGAAUGGGAAGUGAAAAUGAAAAUACUUUGUUUAAGCUGCAGGGUGGGCUCAUGGCUGUAGUUGGAUUUUGCUUCUGCUGCUUCUGUCUUUCUGUUAUGUGUGCAUCGCCACUGUGAAGGACAAAAUCAAUGGACAAACAGCACCAACCAGUAUUUAAGUUGCAGAGUGGCAUAAGGGACCAAUAGAUUGAUAAUUGCCUUAAAUGUUGCUUAGUGCACAAAUUCAAGUGGAGCUGGUGCAAAUGUGUUCUGCUCAAAUUGGAAAGGAACUGAAAUGAGCUGUUGCUGCAGAGUGAACUGCUGCUGCCUCAGCUGGUAACCACAGGGGCGGUGCAGGAUGUAAUGGCUGUAGCUAGCACUUCCUGGAAGAAAGUUCUGUGGUAAAUAAGGCAACUGCUGAUGCGCACCGCAGGGGUGGCCUAAAGCUUUUGGGGGCACUUAUCCCUCAUGACCACCGAUGAGGACCCCCUGCAACCACUGCUUACACAUGGAGCCUGUGCAGACACAGACCACAUCCACCCUCGUUUUGUAUGUAAGUGAGGAGGCAUCCUCUCAAGAGCGUAAACCCCAAUCGACCAAAACUUGGGUGGGGCCUCUACCACCCAGACACCCAGGGUGACGACGACCAAUGGGAUGCCACUGGAUCCACGGGCGGUGAAAUUGCUUUUUCUUUCUCUUCCUCUCUCGCCCUCUCUCCUCUUUCUUUUUAUUGAAUAGUGACCAGAUCUAAGUAAAAACAUCUGGCACAGGACUUGCUUGUCCAGUUAAAAGUAAUAGCCAUUGAGAUACUGUAUCUAACCACGUGCCUUGUAUUUUGUGAUUAAUUUUAUGAUUAAUAAAUCAUAAAACUGGUUGGUUGAUGUUUCACCUUAAUUAAGGCCAAGGGUAUCAUGGACUUGAUUGUUGGUCCCAAGGAGAGGGAGGUCGUCCUAAACAUAAACAACUCUUUUUGGGUCACAACACUAAAAACUGAGGUCAUCCUAAAUGACUCCUUUUGAGUCGUGAAGGAAAAAAUGCUGGAUUUUUUUUUAGCAGCAGCAUCUGACUUUUGUGUCUGAACAAACUAGUUGCUCAAACAUGGGAAAGUACAGCAGCUUUGAAGGAUAGAUUGAAUGGGAUAGGAAACCAAUAAAAGAUGUCUUGCACACACAUCUUGAGCAAUUAUGCCUCAUUUAAGCCUCAUUAUGCAGGGGCUGUGUUCCAGGACACAAAAAGAACCAGAAUUAUCUUUUGCAAAUCCAAUUGCACUCUUUAUCUUUUUUUGUUACACUGAUGCAUUCCAGCUCUUCUAGAUACAUAGCGAAGAGGAGGGUGAUAAGACAGUGCUGCAAGGUGGUAUUUCCGAAGAGCAAUAAAUACUGUUCAAGAAAACUUGGAAGAGAUAAAAAUUAUGGAGAAGUUUUGGGAAGAAUCGGGGUGACGUUUGGCACCCAUUAAUGAACCUUUGGGAUUAUUCAGGGUUUUGAGUGAUAAUUUUUUAUUCUUUUUUCACUGUGCUAGAAAUCGGUAACGGUACUAACUACUACAGAAGAGAGAGAUAUUCUGUGGUUGUGUGGUGUUUUCAGUAGCAGCUUUCAAAAUAUGGUUGCAGCUGUGGAAAAGCAGACUGAUUAUUUCGCAGCUGCUCACAAAGACAACGUGACAAACUCUUAAGCCAAGCUGUGCAAACUAUGCUGAGUCAAGUUCUAAAGGAAGUUUGUGAUUCAGUAGUUGUCCAUGCAGAAGACAGAUACUCAGAAAGUGAUUGUCCAGCAGCUACCAGGCUGGUUGAUGUGAAGUUGUUUAAAUAAUGUAUGCUAUUUCCUGAUGAGAAAUGAAUCAAGUAACUUUUUGGGGAAAACUGAAACUGAAGAUGGUUCAGUAAUUUGCAUGAACAUGCAUAUGUUCAUACAAA